rnacentral:ncRNA from 1 species
AACCUCAUCUUGCUGGCCGCCAUCCGGGCGUCCGAGCAGUGUUUUACAGAACAUGGACGCUUCGUCCGGGUGAGGAGAA